CUUGUCGCCUACUGGCUGGGGGAGGCCCCGCCUCGCCCCGGAGGAACCAAUCCCUGCCCGCUGUGAGCCGGGGAGCGGACGGGCCUGCCCCUCGAAGCCGCGGGGGCCUCUGGGAAGUGUAGUCUCCGGCGCCAGGGAGGGCGGGCCGGGAAGGAGGUGGAGAGCGCCGGGGCGGGGCCUCCCGGCGACUCGACCGGUGCUACACACCCCUUUGCCGUCUGGAGUCGAUUCUGCCUUUUCUCUUUGCCGAGUGAGAGAGGACGGUGGAUCCCACCCCUUCGCCUCAGCCUGACGGCGCUAGGUUUCAUUUUCCCGAGGGGCGGGCGGCGCGGCGCGGCGCGGGAAUGGCAAUGGAGGCCGAGCCGACCUCGGCGGGCCGGAGGGGCCGCGGGCAAGGCCGAGGGUGUUUCGGGCUGUGCUUGGGGCCUACUGUGGCUGCCGAAGGCCACGGCGGGCCAAGCCUGAGCGUCGCGGGAGGAUGGGGUCUGCGCCGGGCCUGUCUCCGAGCCAGCUCCCGCGGUUGAAAUCAGCGGGCUCGGAGCGGGGCUCUGACACGCAGCUCGGAAAGGCAGCUGCCCGAGCUCUCCUGGUCUUCAGAGAAGCCAGGAGCGGCGCUUUGCUUGGUUUGGAGUUUAUACACCUGUCGAAGGCUUAGCCAAAACUAGAAUACGGCCCCUCUCCCCUUCCCAGACGGUCAUAAAGGCCUGGAGUUUCUGAAUUAGUUAAAAAACAAACGGGUCGCAAAUCCCUUCUUGGCAUCCUGCAGACUUCGGUAAUUUAGCAAGGAAUUAGCCCCUGGCUACCAGGCUGCCUCUCAAGUGCCCCUCUUCCUCUUUCAGGUCACUUUUCUUCCCCCACUUUAUUCUCCCCUUCAUUCUCAAACUCCUCAAAGCAACUGAUGGAAUAUUCUUUAGUCUCCUCUCUCUCCACUUGUUGGAAUCUGCUGUCCCCCGCCUUUUCAAACUGCCCCACUAAAGCUGCUAACACCGACUUAACUUCACACCCAGGGCUGUGCUUAGAUCUCUUGCUUAGCUUACUGACCAGGAAUUCAUCAUUUAAGCCUCCCUUGCUCUCUCCUGGUUCUGCUCCAGUUUGUAUCACUCCCCAAAUGGCCAGGGCUGGAGCCAAGAGCUCAGAGCCCCACUCUUGGGCCAUCAUCCACUGCCUUCCGAGCACGUUAGCAGGGAGCUGGAUCAGAAGUCGAGCAGCAGGACUUUAACCAGAGAUGCCCACGCUGAAGGGGGUGGCUUAACCCGUUGCUCCACAGCACCCUUAUCAGUUCUGCCAAUUCUAUAAUGCCCAACUGGAAAGAAAAUAGUUUCUCUUGUUCAAGAAACUUUCCUCAAUUCUGCUUCCCCUACCCUCUUUCAUACUUCUGUGGUGCUUUGUCAUACAAAGGUGUAGGGGCCGGCUCAUUGAUCACUUGGGUUAAUCAUCCCAUUUGGGCGCCGGGUUCUAGUCCUGGUUGCUCCUUUUCCAGUCCAGCUCUCUGCUGUGGCCUGGGAAGGCAGCGGAGGAUGGCCCAAGUGCUUGGGCCCCUGCACCCGCAUGGGAGGCCAGGAGGAAGCACCUGGCUCCUGGCUUCAGAUUGACAUAGUGGUCAUUUGGGGAGUGAACCAAUGGAAAGAAGGCCUUUCUGUCUCUCUCAGUAUCUAUAACUCUACCUGUCAAAUAAGAAGAGAGAGAGGUGCUUCAGAAAGUUCAUGGGAAAGUAGAAUUAAAAGACUUAUUUGGGGGCCGGUGCUAUGGCACAUCUUGUUAAUGCCCUGGCCUGAAGUGCCAGCAUCCCAUAUGCGUGUCAGUUCUAGACCUGGCUGCUCCACUUCUGAUCCAGCUCUCUGCUAUGGCCUGGGAAAGCAGUAGAAGAUGGCCCAAGUCCUUGGGCCCCUGUACCCACGUGGGAGUCCCAGAAGAAGCUCCUGGCUUUAGAUUGGUACAGCUCCGACCGUUGAGGCCAUCUGGGGAGUGAACCAGCGGAUGGAAGACCUCUCCCUCUCUUUGCCUCUCCUCUUUCCGUGUAACUCUGACUUUCAAAUAAAUAAGUAAAUCUUCAAAAAAAAAAAAAAAGACUUAUUUGAGCACUUAAAAGGUAACCUGUAGAGGUGAAACUGACACUACGAGAAGCAAUUUCUUGAACAGCCCUUGUCUUGACUGUCAAGGAACAGUUCAAUGUUUCAUUUUAUUUAUUUUUUUCUACUUAAUACGAUUGAUUGAACUCUUUACUUAACAGAAUUAAGCAUAGGUCUAUUAAGUCCAUUGAAAAUAGAUCCCAGUUAAAAAUGAGAGAGGGAAUGAGAGAGGGAUGAGCUGAACAGAUUGGCACACAUUCCCACAGCCUGUCCCUAAGGGUGAAGCUAAAAACUUGCCAAGGGACUCCAAAUCCCAUUAAGCUAAAGUGGCACUAAUCACAUCUUAUGUGAUAAAGUGAUCAUAUUCAAUGUGGAAUUGAUCAUAUAGAUAGGACAAAAAGCAAAAGGGUCACAUAAAUAAGACCAAGUGCUUGGUAAUAACAAUAGAUAGAAUUACAAAGGAGAGAGAGUUCCAACAUGGGAAGCAGUCCACACAGUAGACUCAUAGAAUGACAAAUGCCUUGAAUAGCACUCUGACCUCAGAAUCAGUCCCUAAGGCAUUCAGAUGUGACUGAAAAUCUCAUGAGAGCAUUUCAGGCAUGGAAUGCCAAGACACUGUGGCAAAAACUGUGCUGCAUGAAAGAUCUCUGUAAGUGAGACCCCAGUGGAAUGAAGGGGCCAUCAAAGAAGGAGCUACUUUUCUCUGGAGGGAGGAGAGAACUUCCACUUUGCAUAUGGCCCUGUCUAAAUACUGAUGGAGUUUGUGUACUCAAAAGACUUCCAUAGCCUUGGCAGCUCAUGUCAAGAGCCUUGGGUGGUCACUGAUGUCAAAAAUAAGAGUGUUAAUUGUUAAAUCAACAACAGGAGUCACUGUGUACUUAGUCCCCAUGUUGGACCUCUGUGAGAAUCAACAGUAAAACUUGUCUUCAAACAGUACUUUAUACUUUGUGUGUCUGUGUGGGUGCAAACAGUUGAAAUCUCUACUUAUUGGGCCGGCGCCGUGGCUCAAUAGGCUAAUCCUCCGCCUUGCGCCGCCGGUACACCAGGUUCUAGUCCCGGUCGGGGCACCGGAUUCUGUCCCAGUUGCCCCUCUUCCAGGCCAGCUUUCUGCUAUGGCCCGGGAGUGCAGUGGAGGAUGGCCCAAGUCCUUGGGCCCUGUACCCCAUGGGAGACCAGGAGAAGCACCUGGCUCCUGGCUUCAGAUCAGCACAAUGUGCCGGCCACAGCGCACCAGCCAUGGCGGCCAUUGGAGGGUGAACCAACAGCAAAAGGAAGACCUUUCUCUCUGUCUCUCUCACUGUCCACUCUGCCUGUCAAAAAAUAAAAUAAAAAGAAAUCUCUACUUAUUAUAGAGUUGGGCUUCUGUAUAUAAAGUCAGUUAAAAACAAACCUUGAUGAAGAAUGGCAUGGGAGAGGUAGUAGGAGGGGGGAUGGGAGUUAGAGUGGGAGGGCGGGAAUGGGGGGAAGAACCACUAUAUUCCUAAAAGCUGUACCUAUGAAAUUUGUGUUCAUUAACUAAAAACCUUCAAAAAAAAGACUGUUUUGUGCAUCCAGUUGAAGGCCUACCGAUUUGAGGGUGAGAUGGGCAAGGAUGCCACCUUGAGCAUCAUUUGCGUGCCUGCUGUAGGGUCCUAUGGGCAGCGCCCCCUUGCGUAUUCCCUUGUGUUGUGAUACAGACUUGCUGUGAACCGUCUGAGAGCUCUGUGACAGCACUGACCUGUGUCAACCUGUAUCCCUCUUGGAGUAGGCAACCUUGUGGGCCCUGUGGCCAGGAACUGCAAGUGACCUGUGGGGACUGCAGCAACCUCUGCAAUUUGAAGGCAGCCUCCCGUCAAACACCUGCAAAAAGCAGGGACGCUCAGUCCUACACGCCGAGGAAAUGAAUUUGGCGUUGACCUGAGUGCCCUCGGAAGACAAGUCUUCCUUGGCCAAGCCUCCUUAGGAGAACCCGUCAGAACUCAGGUUAACAUGACAACACCAGACUUGACUUGUGCUCCACUGUAGCGAUCACUGGACUACUGCGGCCUUGAGUAUCUGAGAUAGCGCUGGAAAGAGCUCACACGGGACCAAGGGAGCUGCCUCCUACAAGGCGUGUUUGGACCAAGAAGCAAGAAGAACUGGGUGUGUGUUCUAGGACGCUAGAGACAACCAGAGAGCAGCAAAAGGCAAAACAAAAUCCUAAGUAGUGAAGUAUAGCAGGCCCAUAGGAGACAAAGUCAACACAUUAAACAUGAUAUAUCCAUAUUCUAGCAAUGGACUUUUAGAAAAUGGAAUCUGGGGAGCCAGCACCGUGGUGUAAUGAGCUAAGCCUACACCUGUGGUGGCCAGCAUCCUAUAUGGGCACCGGUUCGAGUCUCAGCUGUUCCACUUCCCAUCCAGAUCCAGCUCUCUGCUAAUGGCCUGGGAAAGCAAUAGAAGAUGCCCCAAGUGCUUGGGCCCCUGUCACCCAUGUGGGAGACCCAGAUGAAGCUCUGGGCUCCUGGCUUUGGUCUGGCUAAGCCAUGGCUGUUGCAGCCAUUUGGGGAAGGAACCUGUGGAUGGAAACUUCUCUGGCUCCCUCUCUGCUAGAAAAGUAGAGCCUUGAUUCAAUUUUGGUGUCUGAGAAAUAGGCCUGGUGGGAGGUCUGUGCCCUCGGUAGGUAGUUCUCAUGAGAGUGUUGGUUAUAAAAGCCUGCGUUAGGUCCAGUUUCAGCUUCCUGACUUGCCAUGUGAUCCUUCCUCUGCCUGCACGCUGCCUUUCCCAGGUGCCAAGCCGAUCAGGCUGUCCAUCUUAGACUGGAACUUGCAAAUGUGUGAGGUCAAUGAGCCAUUUCUUCUUAUAAAGUCAGUUGCCUCGGGUAUUUCAUUGUAGGAAUGGAAACCUGCUUAGUACAGUGCCAACCAUGAGCCAGGCACUAUUUUCGGUGCUGGGAAUGUGGUACCAAGAAAACUGGCCUCUCUUCAUGUUAUUUAUAGCUUUGUGCUGUCUAAAACUAACUUCCAAUACGAAUAGACAUUUGUAGAAUUACAGAGAUACAGGGGCCAGCAGCAUGGCACGGUGGGUAAAGCCACCACAUGCAGUGCUGGCUUCUCAUGGGUGCUGUAGCCAGGACUGCUCCACUUCCGAUCCAGCUCCCUGCUAAUGCACCUGGGAAAGCAGUGGAGGAUGGCCCAGGUGCUUGGGCCCCUGUACCCAUGUGGGAGACCUGGAAGAAGCUCCUGGCUUCAAUCUAGCCCAGCUCCAGCCAUUGUAACCAUUUGGAAAGUGAACCAGCAGAUGGAAGAACUCUCUCUCUCUUUCUCUCUGCCUCUCCUUCUCUCUGUAACUCUGCCUUUAAAAUAAAUAAAUAUUUUUAAAAAAAAAUGAAACAAAAUAAAAUAGACAUGCCCUGGUCAAAGGCUGAGGAGUCUGCCGGCUCAUGCUGCAUUCCCCGGGCAUCCUUGCAGGGAACAGUGCUAAGGGCGGGGAACAAGAGCAGCGAGGAUAGUCAGCAUCAUUCUAGUUGGCAAACAAUCUCAUUUAGCACCUAGUUGAAGUAUUUGUGCAACAAAAUUAUCUUAUUUAAACAAUUUUGGGCAUUGUCAAUAAACUAAAAUUUUAAUCACAGAGGAAACAUGAUUUCAGCAUAGUCAAGAUAUUUAAAAGCUCAAAAAAAGCAUUGUUAUAGCAAGUUUAAAAAACAAAAACAAAGAUGCUAGCCCUAGCUACCCUGUGAAGAUGUUUUGAAUAAACAAAAUUAGAGAUGUUGUUACAUCUCUUGUAUCUGUCUUAAAAUUGUACUCAUUACUUUCCACAAGAAAAUCUGUAGCAUGAAAGAAAACUAUUUAGAGAAAUCCUGAGUGGGUCAUGGAAUUAAAUGUGACACUGAUUUCUUGCUUACACUGAGGGGUCGUGAUGAGACAUGCAGAUGGAAAACAGUCCACAAUCCAGCAGAAAGACUGUGUUGGUAUUAUCGUCACUGUUGUCAGUGCCCUAGUAGUGUCAACUACACUUUCAACCCAGCCUUUCUUACAAUCAGAAGCAAGGCCUGAUCUUGCAUCCUCUGCACAUACUGUAUUGUCCUGUGCGGUUCAGGCGGUGUUAAACCUAUGCAAAAGCAAGUGCAGUGGAGCAGGCAUUGUGGUGCAGCGGGUUAAACUGCUGCUUGGGACAUCAGAAUCCCUUACCAAAGGGCCGGGUUGAGUCUUGACUUCACUUCUGAUCCAGCUUCCAGCUAAUGUUCCUGGGAAGGCAGCUGUUGAUGGCUCAAAGACAUGUGCUAUCCACAUGGGAGACACAGAUGAAGUUCCAAGCUCCUGGCUUCAGCCUGUGCCAGCCCUGGCUGUUACAGCCAUUUGGAGAAUGAACUAACAGAUGCAAGAUAUUUCUCUCUCCAUGUCUCCCCCUCUCUGUCACUCUGCCUUUCAAAUAAAUAAAUAAGUCUUAAAAAAAAAAAAAAAGAACAAGAACAUUCAUUACAAAACAUAUAUAUAUAGGUGCAAGAGGUCUUCAGAAAUUUCAUGGGAAAUAUGCAUUAUCUUGUAAAUCCAUUUUUCCACAAACUUUUUUGAGAUACCCUGGUAUUUGUCCUAACUAAGCAGGAAGAUUUACCUGUUUGUUAUGCACUCAAUGUUUGUGUCUUCCCUGCCCCCAAUUCCUGUGUUGACGCCUAAACCUCUAAUGUGACCAUGUUUGGAGGCAGGGCCUUGGGGAGCUAGCUGGUCAGGGGGUGGAGCCCUUAUAUAGAAGACACAAGAAAUGGAUCUCCCUUUCCCAUGUGAUGACACAAUGAGACCACGGCCAUCCGUACACCAGGAAAAGAGCCCUCCCCACACAGUAGCCUCCAGAACAGUGAGAUACAAAGUCCAGGCCAUCUGCGGCAUUCUGUUACAGCAGCCAGCACGAACUAAGACAUUGUGAAGUUUCAAUAUUAGCAAGUACUUUGUGUAAACAUGCUUGUUUUUAUUUCAUGUGAGUUGGAUCCAUGAAAUUCAUAUGUUGAAGUCCUAACCCCAGGACCUCAGCAUGUGACUGAUGGGGGGGGGAGCCUCUAAACAGUGACUAAGUUAAAGGGAGGUCGUGAGGGCAGAACUGAAUCCAGUCUGGCCAGUGUCCUCAAAAGUAGUAACUUGGACACAUGGAGAGGCCAUAUAGACACAUGGAGACACACAGAGAGACAGAGACACCCAGAGAGGGAAGGCCAUUUGCCAGCUGGGAAGACCAAAGAAACCAGCCCUGGGGCUGCCAUUGUGGUGCAGAAAGUUCAGCCAACAGCGUGGAUGAGAGCACUGGCUCCAGUCGUGGCUGAUCCAGCUCCCUGCUAAUGCGCCUGGGAAAGCAGAAGAAGAUGACCCAAGUGCUUAGGCUCUUGCCACCCACAUCUGAGAGACCCAGAUGAAGCUUCUGGCUCCUGAUUUCAGCUUGGUACAGCCCCAGCUGUUGUGGCCAUUUGUGGAUAGAAGAUUCUCACACUCUCUCCCUCUAACACCACCUUCCAAAUAAAUAAUCUUUUUAAAAGAAGGAGGAGGAGGCCGGCGCCGUGGCUCAAUAGGCUAAUCCUCCACCUUGCGGCGCCGGCACACCGGGUUCUAGUCCCGGUUGGGGCGCCGGAUUCUGUCCCGGUUGCCCCUCUUCCAGGCCAGCUCUCUGCUAUGGCCAGGGAGUGCAGUGGAGGAUGGCCCAGGUGCUUGGGCCCUGCACCCCAUGGGAGACCAGGAAAAGCACCUGGAUCCUGGCUCCUGCCAUCGGAUCAGCGCGGUGCGCCGGCUGCAGCGGCAGCCAUUGGAGGGUGAACCAACGGCAAAGGAAGACCUUUCUCUCUCUGUCUCUCUCUCUCACUGUCCAC